GACCUCUCAUUAAUCCUAUUCAUACGUUGACCCUUAUCUCAUGUUAAAAAUGUGAAACAACAGUCGCAUGAGGGGUUUCUGUAUACCGUAUAUGGUUAUUUCUUAAAUUCAUUAUUCCGGCUCUUGUAAAUGUUGCUUCAUCUGUCCAAAAUAUUUGAUCUGUUCCCCACUCUUGCAACUUAUUCAAGUACAGACGCCACUAAAAAGCACCCGAUUCCCGCCGGUGAUCGCGUAUGUUCGGAGAAAAAUUCGGUCGUUUGACGUGAAUGACAAGAAUAACGAAACGAAUGUUCCCGCUUUUUUUGCGUUUGUUGGUUGUUUACUUUCGUAAAAAAGCUUCAAUUAAUUUGAUCGAUUAUUCCAAUUAUACUGAACUUUCCUUUGUUUCUUUGUGAAAUAUUAACCAUAUUGUUGCUCAUAGUGUUUUAAAAAAUACUUGAAAAGCUGUAAUUAUUCCAAUUCAGCGAUUUUAGCUGUAAAGAUGGACGGCCCUACUCAAAACCAUCAGAAUCAGGACCAAACUAUCAACAAAAAUAUGUGCCACUUAUGCAGUAAAAUGUUUUCUCCCAUUUCAGCUAAGAACAAACAUAUUAAGGUUAUUCAUAAGCAGCAGCUCCCAGAUAACCCACAGUCACACAUUUCUUGUCCCUUAAGAAACUAAGUAUUCUUGUGAGAGUUAUCAAAAACUUGAAGCUUAUUUACAGGUAAGUCAUGAUAUCAAAAUAGAGUCCUCAACUUUUAAUUUUUCCAGCGAAGAAAGAUUUGAGGAAUAGUUAAGAGAGCAUAAAAUAAGCACAAACUAUGCACUUCUUCGCACAAGGAAAAUAAUUGAAGACAAGAUUGAAAAAGUAUAUUGUUGCAAUCGAAGCGAUUUUAGAGGAUUUCAAAUCAAAUGUAAUAAGAGAACAAUAAAAUGUAGUGAUUCCAUUAAAAUGAAUGGUGUAUGUCCUUCUCGUUUAAAUGUCAAGAUUUAUGGUGCAGGUAACAUAUAGUCCUUUAGGGUAUCCACACAACGGGCCUGGAUGAUCACCAGUAUAUAGCAUGGCUAUAAGCCUUAUUUUUGUAUUGUCUUUAUGGUGUGUGAGCAAAGGAAGGGAAGCGAUUCUGUUUUAGGUGAACUCCAAUGUUCUUCCAAUAAUAUUGAAGCUAGCCAUAGUGUAGAAAUUGAAACGUUUGUUAAUGAGAAGAUGACUGAAAAUCAACAAGUAGCAGUACAACGAUUGAACAAGCAAUCAACAAGAGAAAUUAAAAUUGAGAGAGUAUCAAACUUUUUAAGAUCUUUAAACGAUGAAUGGUAAUUAAAUGAUGAUAAGUGCAUGAGACAACUGACAUCAAUGAUGAAACAGGUAAAUAAGACAAAUACAGGUAAACGAAAAAUGGACAAACAAGUUUACAAAGAAGAAGAAGGAGCAGUAAAUAAAAAAAAUUGUAUAUUUUUUCUAUUUAUCAGUAUUUUUUUUUAUAUAAUAGUAGGUAUAUUCUUAUAGUUUUAAGUAUAUAUGUAUAUGUGUAUUUUAAUUUUUUAUGUAAGCUUUAGGCAAAUAUUUGAA
rnacentral:lncRNA from 1 species